AUAUUUACCUGGAAAGGGAGAUACCAUGAUCACGAAGGUGUUUUUCCCAGGGCUUAUCCAUUGCACUCCGGAUGUGCUGACCCCUGCGAUUUCCUCAAAUAUGGGAAACUCGACUCCAUAAUUUGUGGUAGUGGGGGACUGUGUUCGCACUCUCCCCUG
rnacentral:snRNA from 1 species